GCAAGCUACUCAGACCUGAGGCCUUUAAGGAACGUCAUCAGUCAGAGCUUCCAGGAAAAUGUUGGAUAAAGUGGUGAAAAGAGAGAGGGAGAGCGAGGAACAAGCAGACUCUUCACUGAGCAUGGAGCCCCACAUGGGGCUCAAUCCCAUGACCCUGAGAUCAUGACCUGAGCUGAAACCAAGAUGCAGCUGAACCAUGAUGUAGAGGCUCUGCCACUGAGCCACCCAGGCACCCCUACUGUUAAUAAUUUUUAAUUUUAUUCAGAUAAUGAAAUUCA
rnacentral:lncRNA from 1 species